rnacentral:rRNA from 1 species
GAUGAACGCUGGCGGCGUGCCUAAUACAUGCAAGUCGAGCGAACAGACGAGGAGCUUGCUCCUCUGACGUUAGCGGCGGACGGGUGAGUAACACGUGGAUAACCUACCUAUAAGACUGGGAUAACUUCGGGAAACCGGAGCUAAUACCGGAUAAUAUAUUGAACCGCAUGGUUCAAUAGUGAAAGACGGUUUUGCUGUCACUUAUAGAUGGAUCCGCGCCGCAUUAGCUAGUUGGUAAGGUAACGGCUUACCAAGGCAACGAUGCGUAGCCGACCUGAGAGGGUGGUCGGCCACACUGGAACUGAGACACGGGCCCAACUCCUACGGGAGGCAGCCGUAGGGGAUCUUCCGCAAUGGGCGGAAGCCUGACGGGGCAAAGCCGCGUGAGGGAUGAAAGUCUUCGGAUCGUAAAACUCUGUUAUUAGGGAAGAACAAAUGUGUAAGUAACUAUGCACGUCUUGACGGUACCUAAUCAGGAAGCCACCGCUAACUACGUGC